rnacentral:tRNA from 1 species
GUGCAUGUAGUUCAAUGGUGAGAAUAUCCGGCUGUGAACCGGAAGAUCAGGGUUCGAGCCCCGCCUGCACC